rnacentral:rRNA from 1 species
CGCGGUAAUACGUAGGGGGCAAGCGUUGUCCGGGAAUGACUGGGCGUAAAGCGCGCGCAGGCGGUCUGAUACGUCUGGGGUGAAAGUCCAGGGCUCAACCCUGGGAUGGCCUUGGAAACGGUUGGACUUGAGGGUCGGAGAGGUCAGGGGAAUUCCACGUGUAGCGGUGAAAUGCGUAGAGAUGUGGAGGAAUACCAGUGGCGAAGGCGCCUGACUGGACGAAACCUGACGCUGAGGCGCGAAGGCGUGGGGAGCAAACAGGAUUAGAUACCCUGGUAGUCCACGCGGUAAACGAUGAGUGCUAGGUGUCGGAGGGUACCACCUCCGGUGCCGAAGGAAACCCAAUAAGCACUCCGCCUGGGGAGUACGGUCGCAAGACUGAAACUCAAAGGAAUUGACGGGGGCCCGCACAAGCAGUGGAGCAUGUGGUUUAAUUCGAAGCAACGCGAAGAACCUUACCAGGGCUUGACAUCCCCCUGACGGGGCUAGAGAUAGUCCGUCCCUUCGGGGCAGGGGAGACAGGUGGUGCAUGGUUGUCGUCAGCUCGUGUCGUGAGAUGUUGGGUUAAGUCCCGCAACGAGCGCAACCCUUGAUCUGUGUUACCAGCACGUAAUGGUGGGGACUCACAGAUGACUGCCGGUGACAAACCGGAGGAAGGCGGGGAUGACGUCAAAUCAUCAUGCCCCUUAUGUCCUGGGCGACACACGUGCUACAAUGGACGGUACAGAGGGAAGCGAGACCGCGAGGUGGAGCCAACCCCAAAAAGCCGUUCGUAGUUCGGAUUGCAGGCUGCAACUCGCCUGCAUGAAGCCGGAAUUGCUAGUAAUCGCGGAUCAGCAUGCCGCGGUGAAUACGUUCCCGGGCCUUGUACACACCGCCCGUCACACCACGAGAGUGGGUAACACCCGAAGU